rnacentral:rRNA from 1 species
UGGGGAUGACGUCAAAUCAUCAUGCCCUUAUGACCUGGGCUACACACGUGCUACAAUGGGCGGUACAAAGGGUCGCGAACCCGCGAGGGGGAGCCAAUCCCAAAAAGCCGCUCUCAGUUCGGAUUGGAGUCUGCAACUCGACUCCAUGAAGUUGGAAUCGCUAGUAAUCGCGGAUCAGCAUGCCGCGGUGAAUACGUUCCCGGGCCUU